rnacentral:rRNA from 1 species
UAGGGAAUCUUCCACAAUGGACGAAAGUCUGAUGGAGCAACGCCGCGUGAGUGAGGAAGGGUUUCGGCUCGUAAAACUCUGUUGUUAAAGAAGAACAUAUCUGAGAGUAACUGUUCAGGUAUUGACGGUAUUUAACCAGAAAGCCACGGCUAACUGCGUGCCAC